UUGGGUACCAGACUAAUUCUACAUAGUCACAUAUUGGGCCAUAUUUUGAAAACCUUCAAAAUUCGGAUGAGUUGGUCCAUCUUUUUGAACUCAUACAAACUGGCGUAUCUGUCUAAUUCGACUGAAUCAUUAAAAUUAAUCUUUUCAAAUAGUCGGCAUUCAUGUCGGUCCUUUCCUAAAACUCACCCUUAAGUAACUAACAAAC
rnacentral:lncRNA from 1 species